rnacentral:misc_RNA from 1 species
UCUCCGUUGGUGAACCAGCGGAGGGAUCAUUACCGAGUUUACAACUCCCAGACCCCUGUGAAAAUACCAUUUGUUGCCUCGGCGGUGCCUGCUUCGGCAGCCCGCCAGAGGACCCAAACCCUUGAUUUUAUACAGUAUCUUCUGAGUAAAUGAUUAAAUAAAUCAAAACUUUCAACAACGGAUCUCUUGGUUCUG